GACUGAGGAGCAGUUGAUAAGAGUAAGAUUUAUGAGCUUUCCAGUGCUAAGAUUAGAUCUGAAAGGUAAAACUGCCGAAGUGAAAAUUUUAAUGGAGAAAGAUUUUUGCUGGGUAUAUGAAUAAGAUUCAUAUAACUGUCAUUGAGGUAUUCAAUGUUGUGCUUUCUG
rnacentral:ncRNA from 1 species